GCAGUCAUGGCCGAGUGGUUAAGGUGUUGGACUCGAAAUCCAAUGGGGUCUCCCCGAACAAGUUUGUAUCAUGUGAGCUGCG
rnacentral:tRNA from 1 species